CCGUGCUCCACACUCGGGGAUUUGAAUUUUGAACGGUCAGAGAGAGAGAACAGUCACAGAGAGAGAUGGGGAGUAGUAUCAAACUCUCAACUAGGGUUUCAUGGGCUGAUAAAGUUGAAAAAGAGCCUGCAACACCAGCAACAAAAACAUGGAGAACAACCCAUUAAAAGGCCCAAGCCCAACCCCUUUGGCUCUGCGAGGCCCCGGGAGGUUGUACUCCAAGAAAGAGGCAUUGUCUGUGAUGAGCUCAACUUGAAAUUUGAUCACCAUACCAUUUCCAGCUCUUCUUUCAUCAAACAUCUCUGGUUUAACAGGCAGUAGUGACACAAGAAAAACAAAUAGGGACAUGCCAUUCAAAACGAGAAAGGGACAUGCAACACAGGUUUGAUAGGAAUGAGAAGCUCCAAGAAAACAAGCCACCUUCAACCCCUUUGCCACGGCUGCCAGCCACAAAAAACAUGAGAGUGAGUGUUUAAUAUUUCUCAUGGAGGAAAAGCAUAAGGGAGAAUUUCUCUCAGAGCAACAACGGUCUUGUACCGAACCCAAGCAAGAAAAUGGCCCCAAAAACCAACCAGCUCUGCAAAAAUCAACCAUGGAAAAUAAAUUUCACUCAGACCAAAAGCACGAGAGUGAAUUUCUAUGAGAGUGAGACCAUGAGAGAAAACUUCUAUGAGAGCACCAGAUGCCAAGCUCUGAACCCAAGCAUGCCCAUGGCUCCGAAAGCCAAUCAGCCCUGCAGAAACCAACCCAGUAUGGCAAAUUUCUCUGAUAACAAAAGCAUGAGAGAAUUUCUACUUCAACGAAAGCAUGAUAAAGAAUUUCUCUCAUAACACCAGAGCCCAAACUCUGAAUCCAAUCAGACUAAUGGCCCCAAAACCCAACCAAGUACGUGAAAACCGACUGGAAACGCAGAAGCCAUUCCCUGUUUCUGAUAUUCUCGACAAAAAAUGGUUGCCUGACAAUUAUACUGGUCCUGUGGAUGAGGUGCCUGGGCCUUACUAUGAGAGAUCAGUCAUGGUUUGGCAACAUUCCUAUAUGGGUGCUCAUCAGAUGAUUGAUAAUGGCUGGAGAAGUUAUGGGGCUGACAUGAGAUGUAAGGGCAUGGGCAUGAGUAUUGGUGACCAGUUUUAUGAUGAUAUGAAGAUGGAGAGGGCAUGCAUGGAGAGAAAGCAAAAAAGAGGGAUGAGGCAACCACCAGAGAGGAGUCAUGGCCAUCAGAGGACGAGAGUAGAAGGUGGUUGACAUUGGAUUUAAGAUCAUUUUUUUUCCUUUCAGAAAAGGGGACUGAAAACCAAAUGUGGUUUAUAACACAUCCGUCCAUGGAUGGAUGAAUCUAGUGGUCAUGCACAUUAGGUAAGCUCUUGAGUCUUGAUGACAGACCAACCUUCAGUGAAGGAGGCAUCAUUUUGCUAGAUGCAUUUGCAAUGCUCUCUCUCUCUGUGCUUUACAUCAAAGUGCUGAAUGUCAAGAUAUCCAUAUUCAGGAUUACA